rnacentral:rRNA from 1 species
UACGUAGGUGGCAAGCGUUGUCCGGAUUUAUUGGGCGUAAAGCGAGCGCAGGCGGAAAAAUAAGUCUAAUGUGAAAGCCCUCGGCUUAACCGAGGAAUUGCAUCGGAAACUGUUUUUCUUGAGUGCAGAAGAGGAGAGUGGAACUCCAUGUGUAGCGGUGGAAUGCGUAGAUAUAUGGAAGAACACCAGUGGCGAAGGCGGCUCUCUGGUCUGCAACUGACGCUGAGGCUCGAAAGCAUGGGUAGCGAACAGGAUUAGAUACCCUGGUAGUCCAUGCCGUAAACGAUGAGUGCUAAGUGUUGGGAGGUUUCCGCCUCUCAGUGCUGCAGCUAACGCAUUAAGCACUCCGCCUGGGGAGUACGACCGCAAGGUUGAAACUCAAAGGAAUUGACGGGGGCCCGCACAAGCGGUGGAGCAUGUGGUUUAAUUCGAAGCAACGCGAAGAACCUUACCAGGUCUUGACAUCUAGUGCAAUCUGUAGAGAUACGGAGUUCCCUUCGGGGACGCUAAGACAGGUGGUGCAUGGCUGUCGUCAGCUCGUGUCGUGAGAUGUUGGGUUAAGUCCCGCAACGAGCGCAACCCUUGUUAUUAGUUGCCAGCAUUAAGUUGGGCACUCUAAUGAGACUGCCGGUGACAAACCGGAGGAAGGUGGGGAUGACGUCAAGUCAUCAUGCCCCUUAUGACCUGGGCUACACACGUGCUACAAUGGGCAGUACAACGAGAAGCAAGCCUGCGAAGGCAAGCGAAUCUCUGAAAGCUGUUCUCAGUUCGGACUGCAGUCUGCUACUCGACUGCAUGAAGCCGGAAUCGCUAGUAAUCGUGGAUCAGCACGCCGCGGUGAUACGUUCCCGGGCCUUGUACUCACCGCCCGU